UACAGAGGGUGCGAGCGUUAAUCGGAAUUACUGGGCGUAAAGGGCGUGUAGGUGGUUUUGUAAGUUUGAUGUGAAAGCCCCGGGCUUAACCUGGGAACGGCGUUGAAGACUGCAAGACUAGAGUUGGAAAGAGGGUAGUGGAAUUCCCGGUGUAGUGGUGAUAUGCGUAGAUAUCGGGAGGAACACCUGUGGCGAAGGCGGCUUUCUGGGCCUUA
rnacentral:rRNA from 1 species